GGAGACCUGUGCGUGGGGAGACCGAGACUACGAUUGGUCCCUUCUCCGGAAGGUUUUAAUUUUGAAUUUUUCUUCAUGGCGAGGGCGAGGCCACUGCCUGGACUUCAUCUAAAUCCCCGGCUCUUAGACUAAAAUCAUGCUCAAGUUCAAGCAACAAAGAAGGAAGCGAAAAGUAAAAGCAAAAAGAUUAUUUAAAAAAAAAGAAUUCUCUCACUUUCAGUCCAAGCUAGUUACACCUCCCCCUCCACCAGCCUCAACAGAAAGAGCGGUUAUUUCUUCAACAAACACACCUCUUAUCAGAACCUGGCUAAGAUCAUCCUGGAAUUUCAAAUUUCCCAGUAUCAAAGAUGCAGUAAAACUUUGGACAAAUAGAGGACGGUUUUUAUACAACUGGUGCCAGAACUGCAUAGCCCAGACCUUAGAAGUAUUGAAAGACACCAUCUUUCCUUCCCGUUUCUGCCGCCAAGAACUUCAUAGUCUAAAACAACAGUUUUGCAUUUUGGAAAGUGAAUUAUGCAAGCUCCAAGAAGCACUGAAGACUAUCUCAGAAAAUUCUUCCUGUCCGAGCUGUGGUCAUCCCUGUUACAUGAAUGGUAAACUUACAAUAGUGCCUGCCUGUGCUCUAACCACCCCUGGAGAAUCCGGAGCUGUACUUCCUGCCACCCUGCCAAAGCCAGCAGGCCAUCUUCCUCCUCUACCCCCACCUCCACCCCCUCCACCUCCACCUCCACCUCUGCCUCCCCCUCCACCACCCACAGCACCUUUGCUGCUCAGAAAAUCCAAUCUCACCAAAGCACUUCAGGCUGGACCAUUGAAAAAAGAUGGACCCAUGCAGAUAACAGUUAAAGAUCUAAUGACUGUGAAAUUAAAGAAAACCCAGAGUUUUGAUGAAAAGAAAAAGCUUGUUCCAUCACCAAAGGUACGGAAUCCGCUAGUUACCGUCUCUGACCUGCAGCGUGUUACCCUGAAGCCCAACUCCAAAGUGUUACCAACUCGAGUUACAAACGUCUUAAUUAAUCCUGAUAAAAGUCAGAUAGACCUGCGGAAACUACUUAGAAAAGUCGAUGUAGAGAGGAGCCCAGGUGGGACCCCUCUUACCAAUAAAGAAAAUAUUGAAACAGGAACUGGACUGACCCCAGUAAUGACCCGGGCCUUAAGGAGAAAGUUUCAGCUGGCUCACCCUAGAAGCCCAACUCAAACUCUGCCACUUUCUACAAGCAACUUUGAUGAACAAAACUGAUGCCAACUCUGCCUGACUCCAUAUGAUCAUCCAUAAAAUAUCCAUAAAAUCACCCCACUCCUUUUUUAAAAAUGUAGACUAGGGGAAACCUUGGAGAAAAACUAGGAGGGGAGGUGCGAGCGGCGGAACCUAUGAUGAGCAGGAACUGAAGAAACGGAGGAGGGAUUUCAAGGCAGGACGAAGGUCGGUU